AGCAUAAGCAGAUCCAUUUCCAAAAGCAAACCCAGCAUUUGCAAAAAUUGUAAUCAGUACAUGCUCCUUCAUGUUAAACGGACCCGGGUUAAGCGAAAAUUCUCUCGACCCGAAACCUAGGAUCCGAAAUUUAGUAGUGGGUAAUACAGCUGCCAUGAAUCGUCCAAUGGGUAGAGUAGCAACUUGAACUGUAAUUUGGGUAAUAAUUAGGGGUUCUUUUCUGUAAGAGAAAAAUUGAUUGAGAAAAGAGAGAAGAACGCAAGAGAAUACACCCAGGAUCCACAUCCGGAAAGUCCAUACGGGUAGGGUCGGGUCAUCGGUGUUGGGUACGGUUAAUCGG
rnacentral:misc_RNA from 1 species